CUACAUACAACCGCUCAAAUAUAGGUUCAAGAACAUGAUUAAGGAAUAAAGCGAUUGACAAUCAAGGCGAUGAAGAGAGAAACGAGAAGAGUUUAUUUUUAUAAAUGACUUGAGUUUCUACUGAAACAACGCAGAGUGCGAACGCUUUACUCAAUAACAUAUGUCACCUAUAUAUGGCGUGACUUAUUAUACA
rnacentral:sRNA from 1 species